CCAGUCCAAGACUGCGACAUUUGUGUCAGAAGUCCCUUUGGCCCCUUUCCUGCUCCUGAAUCCCUGGAGUGGUAUUUGGAGGUGGGAGGAGGGGUAAGGUCCGAAGUGGAAAGUCUGACGCUGAGUCCAGGCCCCCAGCCCCACUCAGACUGGCUGAGCUCAUCUCUCCAAGCAACCGCAGCUGGACAUUUUCCAUGUGAUCACCUCAGGGAGGGGGGCUGGGUUCCAGAAACCCAGACAGAGUUGACUGAGUAUCACAGCUUAGGAACAGAGCACCCUCAGGUGCCUCCUCUCCGCCUUCUCCUGUGUUUUGCAUGGGAAAGCCCUGGGGGAGUAGCAAGGAAUGGAGAAACAGACCUGGAGAAGGGCCAAAGCUGGAAUAUAUUUUGGGCCCAAGUUGACCCAGGUUUCUACAUCUUUCCCAUGUUCACCAUUUGUGCUGGCCAGGCUGGGAAAAGAUCCUGUGUGAUGUGAAUGUGCCUGUGAGAUACUGGAGGGCCAGAGAAAGCAAGCUUGAAACAGAGAGGAACGGGUCACUUUGGUGGAGGAAAUUGGGGUUUGGGCCCCAGGGGUAGAGCUGGGGGUUGGAUAAGGGUAAGACUGCACAGGGGCCAGAUGGGCUGGUUUGGAGAAGGGUAAUGAGAUCCCAGGAAGAGAGAGGAACCGUGCCACAUGACUCAGCCACCAAGCAGCCCUAUGGAGAGGCCAAUGUGGAGAGAAACUGAGGCCUUCCACCAAAAGCCAGCACCAACUUGCUAUCCAUGUGAGUGAACCAGCUUGCAGUACAGAGUGGUCAACCCCAGUCAAGCUUUCAGAUAACUACAAGCCUAGUUGACAUCUUGACUACAACUUCAAGAGAGACAUCAAGGCAGAACUGCUUCGCUAAACUGCUCUUGAAUUCUUGACCCACAGAAACUGAGAGAGAGAAUAAAUAUUUAUUGUUGUUUCAAGUAACUACAUCCUGGGGGUAACUUCUUAUGUAUAGAUAAUAUAUACCAUAAAUUUCUUGAAAGUAA
rnacentral:lncRNA from 1 species